rnacentral:rRNA from 1 species
UACGGGGGGGGCAAGCGUUGUUCGGAAUUACUGGGCGUAAAGGGCUCGUAGGCGGCCAACUAAGUCGGACGUGAAAUCCCUCGGCUUAACCGGGGAACUGCGUCCGAUACUGGAUGGCUUGAGUUUGGGAGAGGGAUGCGGAAUUCCAGGUGUAGCGGUGAAAUGCGUAGAUAUCUGGAGGAACACCGGUGGCGAAGGCGGCAUCCUGGACCAACACUGACGCUGAUGAGCGAAAGCUAGGGGAGCAAACGGG